rnacentral:lncRNA from 1 species
GAGAUGGGUACUUGUAAGGAGGAGGAGGAGAUUUGUACUUGUAAACAGGUGGUGGAGGAGAUGGGUACUUGUAUGGUGGAGGUGGAGGAGAUGGGUACUUGUAAGGAGGAGGAGGAGAUUUGUACUUGUAAACAGGUGGUGGAGGAGAUGGAUACUUGUAUGGAGGGGGUGGAGGAGAAGGGUAUUUGUAGGGAGGUGGUGGUGACUUGUACUUGUAGACUGGAGGUGGUGGUGAUUUGUACUUGUAGACUGGAGGUGGUGGUGACUUGUACUUGUACACUGGUGGUGGGGGUGAUGGAUAUUUGUAAGGCUUCUUAGGAGGUGGUGGUGGUGACUUGUACUUGUAAACCGGAGGUGGUGGUGACUUGUACUUAUAAACUGGUGGUGGUGGAGAAGGGUAUUUGUAAGGCUUCUUAGGAGGUGGUGGAGGAGAUGAGUACUUAUAGGGUGGAGGUGGUGACUUAUUCUUGUAAAUUGGUGGUGGAGAAGAAGGGUACUUGUAUGGUGGUGAAGGAUGGUGAUAAGGAUGCUUGGGAG